AAUAUUUGACUUUGGGGGCAACCCUGAUCCAGCCAUGCCGCGUGUGUGAAGAAUGGCUUCGGAUUGUAAGGCACUCUAGUAUUGGAGGCAGGGCUUUAGGCUAAUACCCUGAAUUUUUGACGUUACCAACAGAAUAAGCACCGGCUAACUCUGUGCCAGCAGCCGCGGUAAUACAGAGGGUGCAAGCGUUAAUCGGAAUUACUGGGCGUAAAGCGCGCGUAGGUGGUUCAGUAAGAUGGGUGUGAAAUCCCCGGGCUUAACCUGGGAACUGCUUUCAUAACUGCUGAGCUAGAGUACGGUAGAGGGUAGUGGAAUUUCCUGUGUAGCGGUGAAAUGCGUAGAUAUAGGAAGGAACACCAGUGGCGAAGGCGACUACCUGGACUGAUACUGACACUGAGGUGCGAAAGCGUGGGGAGCAAACAG
rnacentral:rRNA from 1 species